UAACUCUCUUUUCCAUUACUGGGUGGAAUGUCUAAUGAGAUGUACAAUACCAUAGCUCGUGUAACAGAUGGAAUCUAUGAAGGCAUUGCUAUUGGAGGUGAUGUGUUUCCAGGCUCCACUCUUUCUGAUCAUGUUCUGCGGUUUAACAAUAUUCCCCAGCACCCCAAAGCCUUAUCGUCCCUCUGUUCUGAAAUUGAUGUUUCUCCUCGCCACUCUAUAGA